rnacentral:misc_RNA from 1 species
UACGGAAGGUGCAAGCGUUAAUCGGAAUUACUGGGCGUAAAGCGCGCGUAGGUGGCGUGAUAAGCCGGUUGUGAAAGCCCCGGGCUCAACCUUGGAACGGCAUCCGGUACUGGCACGCUAGAGUGCAGGAGAGGAAGGUAGAAUUCCCGGUGUAGCGGUGAAAUGCGUAGAGAUCGGGAGGAAUACCAGUGGCGAAGGCGGCCUUCUGGACUGAUACUGAUACUGAGGUGCGAAAGCGUGGGUAGCAAACAGG